rnacentral:lncRNA from 1 species
AUGAGAUCUUUGGUUUUUAUCAGCCGUGGACAUUCCUCUGAGCACUGCUGCCUGGGAAGGAGCGAACAAGUGAUGACGUACAUGAGACAAUGUGUCUUCAUUCAGCUGGAGACGACACACACACACAUGCGGGCCGGUGGUGGCGGGUCCUUGACGAGAGGAAACCAUGAACUCUGGGAGGAGCAGGUUCCCACACCCAGAAGAAGGGACGCACAACGCUCUAACACAAACAGUCCGCCACUCAGGAAGGAAAGGGCUCUCUUUGGGCCUUUAUCAGAUCUGCGAGAUCCUCGGCCCCGUCCGUCACCCGCUGCUGUCCGAGAGGUGAGACCCCACCCUCCUCCAGUCUUCUUCUUCGUGUUUGAGAAGAGGUC